rnacentral:lncRNA from 1 species
UCCGACUGUUGGAUAAGGCCACAGCAAUCGGGCUGGCAAAAAUCGACGGUCGGCCUUAUCCUUUUGCCGACCGAAUUUAAAGCAUUUUGAAAUCAUUCAAAUACCUCUCAUCCCUUGCAACGGAACACCACCGAGCUCCCUCAUCUUUUCUUCCUCACCUCCGGUUGCCAUCGUGUCGCCGUAGCCGAGCUCCGCCACCCCCCAAACCCCCCUUCUUUCUCUAGCUCCCAGGUGCCCUGUUCCAAGCUUCAUCAGCCUCUCUUCUCGCCGGAAUCCGGAACUCAUUAUAUA